rnacentral:rRNA from 1 species
CCUACGGGUGGCAGCAGUGAGGAAUAUUGGUCAAUGGGCGGGAGCCUGAACCAGCCAAGUCGCGUGAGGGAUGACUGCCCUACGUGUCGUACACCUCUUUUAUAAGGGAAUAAAGUGAGGCACGUGUCCCUUUUUGCAUGUACCUUAUGAAUAAGGAUCGGCUAACUCCGUGCCAGCAGCCGCGGUAAUACGGAGGAUCCGAGCGUUAUCCGGAUUUAUUGGGUUUAAAGGGUGCGUAGACGGCUUUUUAAGUCAGUUGUGAAAGGUUGGGGCUCAACCGUCGAAUUGCAGUUGAAACUGGCGGGCUUGAGUACAGGUGAGGUAGGCGGAAUGCGUGGUGUAGCGGUGAAAUGCUUAGAUAUCACGAAGAACUCCGAUUGCGAAGGCAGCUUACUAAACUGCCACUGACGCUGAUGCUCGAAAGCGUGGGUAUCAAACAGGAUUAGAUACCCUGGUAGUC